UGCAGAGCCAUCUGGGGAGAUUUAAAACAACCCCUCCGGCAGCUGGUCGGGGUGUGAUUAAUGACGGCUGUGGACUUGAGCAGAGCAGAACUGAGGGGACAAGAGCUGUGAGGCUCCUGCAAAGAGGUGCAGGCUUGGCCGUGGUCGAAGCACUCUUCUCAGCUGUUCCUUGCUGCACCACGUUAUCAGUAGAGCAGCAGACCGUGGCCACGCAGCCCUGCUGCUGCUCUCCAGCCACAGCCUGCAGGGGCUCGCGGCGCUCAGCCGGUGGCGCCGGGCAUUCCUGGGGACACGGGACAUUUAUUUUUCAAUAUGUUGUGGUCUGCGUUAGGUUUUCUGCUGCCUGGGUGAAGCCCCUUAAAUCUUGCUCCAAGUGACAGCUCUACGACUGCCCCUUGCUUUCCGGAGAGGUCGUUAGACUUUAGCAGCGAUGGCAUUCAGCGUUUUGCCAGGGGAAUACUGAAGGUCCAGAAUGUCACAGCGUUAUGUAAGGCUGUAAAAAUAUGGCUUUCCCCCGCGUAAAUCACAUUUCUAUGUCAGCAGCCAGCGAGCAGUAAGGGAAUUUGUUUAACCCUGCCGUGCCUGGCAGCUGGGUCACCUUCCCACAACGCAGCCACGAACCCAAGUGGAAUCAUCCCUGCCUUUUCCCUUGUGGCCCCAAAGAGUUUGCCCCCCAUACUUGUGCAGGAACCGUAAAUCCUUUCAAUCCACUUAUCUGCUUCUUCCUCCCCUUCGUUA